rnacentral:rRNA from 1 species
GACGAACGCUGGCGGCGUGCUUAACACAUGCAAGUCGAACGGAAAGGCCCUGCUUUUGUGGGGUGCUCGAGUGGCGAACGGGUGAGUAACACGUGAGUAACCUGCCCUUGACUUUGGGAUAACUUCAGGAAACUGGGGCUAAUACCGGAUAGGAGCUCCUGCUGCAUGGUGGGGGUUGGAAAGUUUCGGCGGUUGGGGAUGGACUCGCGGCUUAUCAGCUUGUUGGUGGGGUAGUGGCUUACCAAGGCUUUGACGGGUAGCCGGCCUGAGAGGGUGACCGGCCACAUUGGGACUGAGAUACGGCCCAGACUCCUACGGGAGGCAGCAGUGGGGAAUAUUGCACAAUGGGCGGGAGCCUGAUGCAGCAACGCCGCGUGCGGGAUGACGGCCUUCGGGUUGUAAACCGCUUUCGCCUGUGACGAAGCGUGAGUGACGGUAAUGGGUAAAGAAACACCGGCUAACUACGU